AACCUCCCUCAGCUUGACUUCUUGCAGCAUCCUAAAGCUGGACUCUCUCCGGAUGACAGCCUGCUCUGACAUGCAUUUGCAGAAACACAUUUGAGAAAGAUAAGGAAUGUAACAUUUGUUCCUUGAUGAUGAUAUGUUGGCUGCCGCAGAACGUUUUUAAAGCCUUAAGAUUGCAUCUAUUAUUUCUGAAAAGAGGGAGGAAAAAAUCUCCCUGGGAAAAGAGCUACACACAAUAGGGCAUACAUUAGUUUUCCUAGACUCUUUUGCUGAAUUAAUUGCACUUCCAAAACAUUCUUGCCUGAACCACGCUUCAAGAAGGCUCUCAGCUGCAGAGAAUGAAAACUCCCUUCCACACACAUCGAAAUCAGGAAAUCAGAAGAGGCACCAGACUUCUCCGCACAGUGUCUUGUUUCUCUCCUGCCAUUCAUCAGAAACCUUCUCCAAGAUGUUGCAUUGCAGGGAAAUUAGAGAUGAAAUGGUCACAAAAGUAGAGAGAUGUUUAGCCUAAGGACAGUUAUAUGUGUUUCAGAAAAAAGUAAAAAAGGUCAAACCUAAGUCAAGGAAAUGGCUCGGCUUUCUCUAAAACAGAGAGAGAGAACUUUUCUCAGCUGAAAACAUAAGAGAAAGAGAGGAAAGAAACCUGAGAUACAGCUCAAUAGCAUUCUCUUGUCUUGGCCAAGUGUUCAUUUGUAUUGUCAAAACUCAUGGAGAAUCAAACUGUGCCUGAAGCUUAAAGGUGAAGUAUAAUCUACAAACAAAUAAAAUGAUCCUUAAUCAUGGGUUAGGAGUGGGGGCCACCCAAAAGGCAUUGUCCAUGUGCCCUGAAGUUUUAGGAUGCAUUGAAAGUCACAGAUUCAAAAAAGACCAACUGGAGAGGUGAGACCUGCUAUGUGCAUUCCAAAUCAGCCUACCCGGUCAAACUCAAGCCAUCUAAAAUGGAUUAAAGAUUAGUUAUCAUUUCAAUCCUAUGAAAGAAGAUCUAUAUUUCUCUUUUAGACACAAAAUUCUCCAGAGGAUGGUGCUUGCCAACACUCUGAAAAAAUAAUCUCUCAAAAUUCUUGCAACCCACUGUGUUAUGAUUUCAUCUCAUGAAAUAUAACACCUUUACAUUAAACCCCAUAAAACUAAAUCCCUCUGGAUCUCUUCCAGACUCAGAGAAUAAGCAGCUCUGUUGGUGAUGCUUAGAAAAGUGAAGCACAGCCUCUUCUCAUUGGGCUGGUUCCCACCACUGGGUCCAUUUUGCAGAGAAUAAAUUUUCUUUACUUCUACCAAAUAUUUACAUGGGAUUAAUCUCACACAUAAUAGAUCUUGCAAAUGCUUUGUGAAU
rnacentral:lncRNA from 1 species